rnacentral:rRNA from 1 species
GCCAGACUCCUACGGGAGGCAGCAGUGGGGAAUAUUGGGCAAUGGGCGCAAGCCUGACCCAGCAACGCCGCGUGAAGGAAGAAGGCUUUCGGGUUGUAAACUUCUUUUCUGGGGGACGAACAAAUGACGGUACCCCAGGAAUAAGCCACGGCUAACUACGUGCCAGCAGCCGCGGUAAUACGUAGGUGGCAAGCGUUAUCCGGAUUUAUUGGGUGUAAAGGGCGUGUAGGCGGGAGCGCAAGUCAGAUGUGAAAACUCAGGGCUCAACCCUGAGCCUGCAUUUGAAACUGUGUUUCUUGAGUGCUGGAGAGGCAAUCGGAAUUCCGUGUGUAGCGGUGAAAUGCGUAGAUAUACGGAGGAACACCAGUGGCGAAGGCGGAGUGCUGGACAGUAACUGACGCUGAGGCGCGAAAGCGUGGGGAGCAAACAGGAUUAGAUACCCUAGUAACA